CCAAAGGCUUUAUAAUAUGAUCAUACAUUAUGGAAACAUAUUCACAAUAAUGUAGAGUGAGUAAAAUCACAAUAACUAAUCAUACAUUGUGAAAACGCAUUACACCAGUGUAGAGUGGAUAAAAUAAUCACAUGGAGUCAUAUACUGUGGAAACGCAUUCACACAAGUGCAGAUUAGGGUAAAAUCACCUGGAUAUUUUCUAGUGGUUUAAAAAACAACUUUAGAUAAACUGAAAUAUGUAAUGCGAAUAUAACAUGUUAAAAAAAUGAUUUAAAUGUACUAAAUUUAACUUUAAAAAGAAUUGACUAUAAAAUCCACUUCAUUCUAAAAAUUAUACUGUCAAACCAAAUAUAUGAAAUAAUUAAUUUUCUGAUUUAAUAUAAAUUUAGUAAAUACUAAUUUCUAAAAAAAUAAGUUUUUAUCCACUCGCUCAAGAUAAGUUACAGGCUAUAAAGGCCGAUAAGUUUUUCCAAACUUUCACAUUACUACCUAAAAUAACUAUAUAAUUACUCAAAUUAAAAACUGACAAUUAUAUUAAUACAAAUCUCCUGCUUAACUUUUUAACUUCUAUAUUUACUCUUGCAUCUCCAUUUUCCCCAACUUUUCUGCUCUUUCAUUAAUUACCAACCAAUCAUUACAUAUAAUCAAUUCCAUUAAAUUACUAUAUUUUCUUAAAAUCACUAACUUGUACAUAAACAACAAUCCCUGUACAUAUGCUCUUCACCCCUGACUCCUGGAAGGCACAUCCUGCGAUUGACCUCCUCCACGAUGGCCCGGGUCGGUGGGCCCUUAAAGUUGGGGUUCAACCUUUUUUUUUUUUUUAACUUAAUCCACCUAGAUUUCAAUAUAUAUAUAUAUCAUCUAGUCUCAUUCAAGCUUGUAAAAUCUUUAAAAAAUCAAAAUUUGACAAAAACAGCACUAAAAUUUCAUAAUAUUGAAAUCUGGCACUUGCUUCUGCUUUCAAAUUUAUCAUCAAAACCAUUAACAGAAAUAGCACUUUUCUGGAAGAAUUCCAGAAAUGGCACCUGUCUCCCAAUAGCUUGAAAAUUGCUUAAAAAAUGGAGAAUUCAAAUCCCAAAUCCUUGGUCAAAGUGUCUAGCAUCAUAUAAUCACAAGAAUUUCAAAGCAUAUAUCUUUAUCUCACAAACCUAUUUUCAAAGUUCUACUUUCUUCAACUUCAAUAUUCAAAUAGACAUAUUUUUUUGCUAUAUAACUUCAAAUACAUAUCAAUAAUACCUAAUUCUAACUAAGUUUUGAAUUGAAACAAAUUUUCCAUAAACCCUAAGAAAAUUUAAUUCAAUACUUAUCCUUACCUCUCUAAUUCAAAUGAN
rnacentral:lncRNA from 1 species